GCACUGGUAGCUCAGCUGGAUAGAGCACCCGGCUACGAACCGGGAGGUCGGAGGUUCGAAUCCUCUCUGGUGCA
rnacentral:tRNA from 3 species